AUUGAAGUUAGAUAGGAGCUGGAAGCCCCGGUGUGGCAUCCCUGAGCAAGAGGGUCAUUGAGUAUCAUCUAUCUUUCUCCUAAAGGGCCAGGAGAAAGGAUGCCGAGGUUGGUUGUCAUCCUUGGCUACAUUACCAGUUUGAGGCCAGCCUGCGCUACAGGAAUUUCUGUUAUAUGUAUACGAAAAGGUUAAAUACUUUGCCAUAUAUGGACAUAGAUAGGUUUAACUUGACUACAGGACAUAAAUAUGAAUGGAAACAGCAUAUGGUAUCCCUUGGGUUUGCAGUUUUGUGGGGUUUUUGCAUCUGUUGACAAUUUAACUUAAAGUGUGAAGUCCUGUCGCCACGAAGCAGCUCAACCUUAGCCUUCCAUUGCCCACUCUGUACUCAUCACACCAAGGAACUCUUGUAGGUAAUCCAGGA
rnacentral:lncRNA from 1 species